rnacentral:rRNA from 1 species
GACAGAGGGUGCAAACGUUGUUCGGAUUUACUGGGCGUAAAGCGCGUGUAGGCGGCUUUGCAAGUCGGAUGUGAAAUCCCACGGCUCAACCGUGGAAGUGCAUCCGAAACUGCAUCGCUGGAGUCUCGGAGAGGAAGGUGGAAUGCUUGGUGUAGAGGCGAAAUUCGUAGAUAUCAAGCAGAACACCUGCGGCGAAGGCGGCCUUCUGGACGAUGACUGACGCUGAGACGCGAAAGCGUGGGGAGCAAACAGG